rnacentral:rRNA from 2 species
UCCGUAAUCCGGGUUGCGGACAGUGUCUGGUGGGUAGUUUGACUGGGGCGGUCUCCUCCUAAAGAGUAACGGAGGAGCACGAAGGUUGGCUAAUCCUGGUCGGACAUCAGGAGGUUAGUGCAAUGGCAUAAGCCAGCUUGACUGCGAGCGUGACGGCGCGAGCAGGUGCGAAAGCAGGUCAUAGUGAUCCGGUGGUUCUGAAUGGAAGGGCCAUCGCUCAACGGAUAAAAGGUACUCCGGGGAUAACAGGCUGAUACCGCCCAAGAGUUCAUAUCGACGGCGGUGUUUGGCACCUCGAUGUCGGCUCAUCACAUCCUGGGGCUGAAGUAGGUCCCAAGGGUAUGGCUGUUCGCCAUUUAAAGUGGUACGCGAGCUGGGUUUAGAACGUCGUGAGACAGUUCGGUCCCUAUCUGCCGUGGGCGCUGGAGAACUGAGGGGGGCUGCUCCUAGUACGAGAGGACCGGAGUGGACGCAUCACUGGUGUUCGGGUUGUCAUGCCAAUGGCACUGCCCGGUAGCUAAAUGCGGAAGAGAUAAGUGCUGAAAGCAUCUAAGCACGAAACUUGCCCCGAGAUGAGUUCUCCCUGAGACUUAGAGUCUCCUGAAGGAACGUUGAAGACGACGACGUUGAUAGGCCGGGUGUGUAAGCGCAGCGAUGCGUUGAGCUAACCGGUACUAAUGAACCGUGAGGCUUAACCUUACAACGCCGAAG